GAUUAAAUAUUUAAAAUUCUAAUUUUUAAAAAAAUUAUAAUUAUUGUUAUUUUAUUGGGUAUGAUAAUGGUAUUAUGGUUAUUUUUUUAUUAUUUUAUUACUGGUAUUAUGGUAUAUGUUAAGAGUGUCAAUCUAAGUACAGAGGUAAACUGAAGCAAGCUCAAAUCAUUGGAAAUUGAGUUUAUUUGGAAAUAGCAGAGGAAUUGCAAUCUGGGACAUACCAAGCCACAGGUGAGUCCUUGAGAGUUUGGGGUAGGCUAUAUUCAUAGGCAAAAAAUGUAAAGAGGAGGGAGUUAAGGCAGUGUUGGGACAGUGAAUUCAUUGAAAAUACGGACUCUUGGUGGAUGUUCAUUGGUCAGGAGAUAAGUUCCAGGAAAUCAAUCUUUCCGUUCUUAAGUUUUAUUUUCCUGAGUGCGCAUACUUGAGAUUCUCCAUUUUGUAUCCUCCAGUUCCACUUUAGGUUGAAAUCUUUUCUCAAGGGAUACAUACUGAAAAAUUUACAGGUAAAAAUUUUAAAUGGCUGGAAUUUUCUCUCAAAUAUACAACAUUAGUGCUUUUAUUUCUUGAUGUGAGUUUUUGUUAACUUUAUAAAAAAAUUCUUUACGUUUAUGAUUUGUACACUUUUUGUACAGAAGUUCUGUUUCAAAAAUUUUACAAAACAUUGAAUUUAUUGGACUUUUGACUUACAGAUAAUACAUAUAGAUGGUUAAAAAGUCAGUUUAUAUGAAAAGUGUAUACAACGAAUAGUUAGUCUUCCUCCUCCUGAUCUAUUUCCUCUCUCAGGGGCAGUAACUAUUACCAGCAUUCAUCUAGAGUUAUUUUUAUACAUGUACAAGUGUGUAUAUACAAGCAUGUCUUAGAGACAAUUCCAUGUCAAAAUUUGUAGAUUUUCUAACUUUUUUCCCCUAACUUUUAAUAGUUACAUGUAUUUCACUAUAUGCUUUACACUAGCCACUGAGUGCUGGACAUUUAAGUGCUUGUGUGCGUGUCCAUGGUUUUAGUAUUCAUGGGUUUUGAAGCAUUAAUAGAUACUGCCAAAUUGUCCUUCAAAAUGUUUGUAUUAAUUUACUUCCAUUUCCACUCACCAGUAUGUAUCAGAGGGAUCGAGUUUAAUAGUAUAUUGGUGCAUAAAUAGUAAUGCCCUCAAGAGGGAGAUAUUUUCAAAAAUAAAUGGACAUUUGAUUAUAACAGUUCUUAUUUAAGUACCUUAAACAAGGAAGAUGUGGCUUGUUCAUUUAUAAAAGUAGUACUGAGAAACGUCAACUGAAGUACAUCCAGAGUGAACGGUUUUCCCUAAAUGGUGUGGUAGGUACAUAAAUUUUAGAGAAAUGAAAGUAAGAAAACUUUGAAUUAUCCUUAGUUAUUAACAAGAAGACUAAUGAGAUAAAGUCAAAAAUUUUAAGAAAUGGAUUUUCAGGUCCUUUCUCUCUGACCUUAUCCUUGUGGUUGUUUGGUUAAAAAAAAAAAAAUGCAUAUAAACCUUAUGGGGCAGGCCUAGUUAUAGGAUUAUAGCUUGUGUUAGGUGAUUUGGGGAGGAUUUAAAGUAGCAGCAAUUUGCUCAGGAAGUAGGAGUAAUUCUGUGAUUGGGUUUCUUUAUGAACCUUACCUAGGAGGUAGGAAGAAUUAAUUGGGGCUAAGGUUAUAAUAAUAAAGCAAAAACAGUUCCUUAUAUUAGCCAGAAAAUGGGAAUAGUUGAUCAUUUUUGUGGUUUGGAGAGUGCUGUGUUUGUCUUGGUGCAGAUGUAAUUACUAAAUUGCCUUAUUUUUGUCUUGCUCUCUCAUAUUCACAGAGUGACUUUGUCUAAUGUUAAUGUUUUGUGAUUUUUUUAUGUUUAACAGAAUACCUUGAUCUGCCUGAGUGUCAGUCCAGCUCCUGGCUGCUUUCUCUUUUUUAAGAGGUUGGUUUCCCCAAGAAGCACCAUUAAACAAACAUUCAAGCACAAGUCGUUUCUCUGGAGAUGAAGGAGUAGGAAGAUGAGAUUAAAAAGCCAGGAAAGGAUGCCUAUGAAGCCAGUCACACGGUCCUCCUCCACACAAAAGGCCACACGGAGAAACCGUCCUCCACAAAGUGAGCUGGCCAUCACCUCUGCUCCCCCUUUUCCACCUGCUAGAUGCUGGGCAGCCGUUCGGGUUUACAUCUACCACCUGCUGACCCAUCCAACACAGGUUCUUCUCGACAUGAGAAAAAUCUCUGUCUCAAACAGCAGCGACUUCAGAGUUCUUUUGUGGCACAACGGGUUAAGGAUCUGGUGUUGUCUCUGCAGCAGCUUGGGUCACUGCUGUGGUGUGGGUUUUAUCCCUGGCUCAGGAAUUUCCACAUGCCGUGGGCAUGGCCAAAAAAAAAAAAAAAACUUAUGUAUAUUCUUGUUUUAAAAGUUAGGGCAGAGCCUGGCAUGAUUUUUCACAUACUCACUCUAACCAAUGAACAUUCAAGUAUCUUGUAGUUAUGUUAAAAACCACCAUCAUUAAUUCACAAGUAUUUACCUUGAUUGAUAACAGAUAGGUAGUUCUUAGAAGAACUGUAUGUGUUCAAGCAGUUAAUUUUUUAAAGUAAACUUAGAAUUUCUUUAAGUGUAACUUCAAGCUGGUGUCACUUAUUUUAAAAGUAAUACAUAAAAGCAUUUCUGAUCAUUAUAUGCAUCUGUGAGCAUAUAUUUAUACAAAUAUUUUCGUGUAUUUUGGAGAAUUUAGUCAAGAGUCUAAAUGAUUCAAGCAGUAAAAGAGUAGUUGAAAAAAGACCAUGAAGACAAAGCAGAAACAGAAGUACCAAUGAGGUAACUAACAACCUAUAACCAAGGUACCAGAACAUGAUGGGAAAUGUGUCAGCUUUCUCUAAACUUUUAUAUCAGUCUUAUGCUACACACACCUUUCAUCCCAUCUGACACAAGUAUACUUCUCAGAGGCGGAUUAAGACGGUUCUUUAAAUACCACACAUUUCUACAGUGACUAUUAACAAACCAAAGGGGUAGGUUUUGUUAACAGAAUGCUUAUGCCUCUGUUUUUAUCCACAGUUAUACAUUGAUCUCUCAAUAAUUCUAGCACUGAAUCCACUGGUGUAGCACUGCUUACUACAGACUGAAAUCUUAUAUUAAAACUGAGAUUGGGGAGUUCUCUAUUUGGCUCAGUGAUAACAAA